rnacentral:rRNA from 1 species
CGUAACAAGGUUUCCGUAGGUGAACCUGCGGAAGGAUCAUUAGAAGAAUCUGUACUAAGCUUCGUCGUAAGCCCAGAGCUACAAUUCUAACACACUCUGCGUACCUUUCCUGUUGCUUCCGUGGUGGUCGGGUUCGUGCAAGUUAGGCCACGUUCCCCAGAUGCUUCUUUAUUGCUACCUGCCAGCCCCUACUGGCUUGUCCCUACGGGAGGUCCCCCGCAAACCAUUUGUAUUUAUUUUGCCUUCUGUCUGAAUCAUGUUAAUAACAAUCGUUAAAACUUUCAACAACGGAUCUCUUGGUUCUCGCAUCGAUGAAGAACGCAGCGAAAUGCGAUAAGUAGUGUGAAUUGCAGAAUUCAGUGAAUCAUCGAAUCUUUGAACGCACAUUGCGCCUCCUGGUAUUCCGGGAGGCAUGCCUGUUCGAGCGUCAUGAGGAGAUAUUUCAAGCUCUUUUUUGCUUGGUCUUGGAGGUUGAGUGUUGCUCUUGUACUCAUUCACCUUUGAAAUUUACAGGCGGAUUGCGUCGUGUUCCUUUUGGCGUUAUAGGAUAACUCUUUCGCUUGGACUCGGUCGUCUGUCCUGCCCUAAAACCCCCAACUAUUUUGACGUUUGACCUCGGAUCAGGUAGGGAUACCCGCUGAACUUAAGCAUAUCAAUAAGCGGAGGAAAAGAAACCAACAGGGAUUGCCCCAG